CAGGGGGCUCCUCCCGGGCAGGAACCACCCGGCUCGGCGGCGGAGGGUGGGCCGCCGUCACCUGACCGCCCGCCCCCGCCCCCCGCGAGUAAGGGGCGGUGGUAGCGUCUGCUCGGUUACAAAUGGCCCCUCCCGCCCGGCUCGCCCGCUCGCUCGGGCUCGGCGCGGACCCGCCUGGGCGUGCUCCUCCCGCCGGCUCCAGGCGUCCCACCGCCCUGACUCCUGCGGGCGCGCCGGGCACCCAGCGCGGAGGCUCGCCCGCGGAGGUCGCCAAGGAAGUCUGGACCGCCUAGGCGUGUGGCUCGUCUACAGGCAGGUGUUCUUUCGAUCACAAUGGAUAGUGACUCUUCUCUUCUGCCUGAGUGGUUCAAAAUACCUGCCCUCUCUGUCUGCCAGUUCUAUCAGCAAAACACUCUGA
rnacentral:lncRNA from 1 species